ACACCUCAACUCUUCAUGGUUUUCUGUGAUGAGCUUGGACUUUGGGGGUUUUGCCGGCCUACAGUUGGCUCCUCUAAAAUGAAUCAGCUUGCCGGUGUUUGGUGGGCAUCACGGGUGUGAUAACUAUCUACGCUUGUGGUUUUCCACCAGGUAACCUUCAGCAGUGGAGGUUCGCUGGAGCUCACAGAUGUCUCUCCUCAGUGAGGACGGCCCUUUGAAU
rnacentral:misc_RNA from 1 species